rnacentral:lncRNA from 1 species
CCUACCCAACGAUCAUCUUGCUGCACUCAUUUCAAUCGUUGUUCUUCGAUUAAUACGGUAAGUUCAUCUUCGAUUCUUCCUUUCACCUGAUUUAUAUACUCAUUUGUCAUUAGGAUUUCUGAAUUCGAUUAGUGUUCUUAUGAUUUGGGUUAAUUUGGGUUUGUAUUAUAUGGUUGUAGAUAUCAAGUAUGGAGGAGGAUUGCAAGUGUUUAAGGUUCAAUUGGAGGUAAUAUACUGUCAUUAUUCAAGUAUACCUAGAUAAAUGUAAUAUGCUAGAUUUGGUGAUCGACUUCGAAGAUGAAGGUAAGAAGUCCGGCGUUGUGCUUAAAUACAAAUACGGGUGUUUUCAUAUGUGUACAAGAUGGACCUUGUCAAAUUGUUGAAUGAUAAAGACUUAAUGGAGAUGUUUACUAGGGUAAAUGGGGGAGAAGUUUAUAGAUAUAUAGGUAGGUACAAUGGUGAAGCCUAAUCCAUUAUAUGAGUUGUUUUUACAGUUUAAGCAAGAAAAUAAGGAGGGGGAUAAUGAGGGGGAUUAGGGGAUGGAUAAGAAGGGUGCUGAUGAGGUAGAUAUUAUGGAGGAGGGGGAUGAUAUUGAUGGAGAUAAAUACAAUGAAAGAAGUUAUAAUACUGAAGACAGUGAUUAUAAUGAAGAAAAGGAGCCUGAUGAAGAUAUUGAGUCUAAUGAAGAGAGUUUUGUAUAUAAGAAUAAUGAGGUCGCGGAGGAUAAUGGUGAAGAUAUUCAUAUUAAUGAGG